rnacentral:rRNA from 1 species
GACGAACGCUGGCGGCGUGCUUAACACAUGCAAGUCGAACGGAAAGGCCCUGCUUUUGUGGGGUGCUCGAGUGGCGAACGGGUGAGUAACACGUGAGUAACCUGCCCUUGACUUUGGGAUAACUUCAGGAAACUGGGGCUAAUACCGGAUAGGAGCUCCUGCUGCAUGGUGGGGGUUGGAAAGUUUCGGCGGUUGGGGAUGGACUCGCGGCUUAUCAGCUUGUUGGUGGGGUAGUGGCUUACCAAGGCUUUGACGGGUAGCCGGCCUGAGAGGGUGACCGGCCACAUUGGGACUGAGAUACGGCCCAGACGCCUACGGGAGGCAGCAGUGGGGAAUAUUGCACAAUGGGCGGAAGCCUGAUGCAGCAACGCCGCGUGCGGGAUGACGACCUUCGGGUUGUAAACCGCUUUCGCCUGUGACGAAGCGUGAGUGACGGUAAUGGGUAAAGAAGCACCGGCUAACUACGU